rnacentral:rRNA from 1 species
UUGGUCAAGUUAUUAAGGGUGCAGGGCGGAUGCCUUGGCACUAGGAGCCGAUGAAGGACGUGAUAAGCUGCGAUAAGCUUCGGGGAGUUGCACGUAAACUUGGAUCCGAAGAUUUCCGAAUGAGGAAACUCACUUAGAGUAAUGUCUAAGUAUCAUUAAGUGAAUACAUAGUUUAAUG